rnacentral:rRNA from 1 species
GAACGCUGGCGGCGUGCCUAAUACAUGCAAGUAGGACGCACAGUUUAUACCGUAGCUUGCUACACCAUAGACUGUGAGUUGCGAACGGGUGAGUAACGCGUAGGUAACCUGCCUAUUAGAGGGGGAUAACUAUUGGAAACGAUAGCUAAUACCGCAUAACAGUAUGUAACACAUGUUAGAUGCUUGAAAGAUGCAAUUGCAUCGCUAGUAGAUGGACCUGCGUUGUAUUAGCUAGUAGGUAGGGUAAUGGCCUACCUAGGCGACGAUACAUAGCCGACCUGAGAGGGUGAUCGGCCACACUGGGACUGAGACACGGCCCAGACUCCUACGGGAGGCAGCAGUAGGGAAUCUUCGGCAAUGGGGGGAACCCUGACCGAGCAACGCCGCGUGAGUGAAGAAGGUUUUCGGAUCGUAAAGCUCUGUUGUUAAGGAAGAACGAGUGUGAGAAUGGAAAGUUCA